GAUGAACGCUGGCGGUAUGCUUAACACAUGCAAGUCGAACGGUCACUUCGGUGAUAGUGGCGGACGGGUGAGUAACGCGUGAGAAUCUGUCUUCAGGUCGGGGACAACAGUUAGAAAUGACUGCUAAUACCGGAUGUGCCGGAAGGUGAAAGAUUUAUUGCCUGAAAAAGAGCUCGCGUCAGAUUAGCUAGUAGGUGGUGUAAGAGACUACCUAGGCGACGAUCUGUAGCUGGUCUGAGAGGACGAUCAGCCACACUGGAACUGAGACACGGUCCAGACUCCUACGGGAGGCAGCAGUGGGGAAUUUUCCGCAAUGGGCGAAAGCCUGACGGAGCAAUACCGCGUGAGGGACGAAGGCUUUUGGGUCGUAACCUCUUUUAUUAGGGAAGAUUUCAGGACGGUACCUAAUGAAUAAGCAUCGGCUAACUCUGUGCCAGCAGCCGCGGUAAU
rnacentral:rRNA from 1 species